rnacentral:rRNA from 1 species
UACGUAGGGUGCGAGCGUUGUCCGGAAUUAUUGGGCGUAAAGGGCUCGUAGGCGGUUUGUCGCGUCGGGUGUGAAAACUCAGGGCUUAACCCUGAGCCUGCUUCCGAUACGGGCAGACUAGAGGUAUGCAGGGGAGAACGGAAUUCCUGGUGUAGCGGUGAAAUGCGCAGAUAUCAGGAGGAACACCGGUGGCGAAGGCGGGUCUCUGGGCCGAUACUGACGCUGAGGAGCGAAAGCGUGGGGAGCGAACAGG